rnacentral:rRNA from 1 species
CAAUAGCGUAUAUUAAAGUUGUUGCAGUUAAAAAGCUCGUAGUUGAAUUUUUGCUUGCCGCCGAUGUCGGAACUUCCGUACGUUCGGCGGCGUGCAUCCUUGGGUGGAACCUGUGUGGCAUUAGGUUGUCGUGCAGGGGAUGCUCAUCGUUUACUGUGAAAAAAUUAGAGUGUUCAAAACAGGCUUACGCCGUUGAAUAUAUUAGCAUGGAAUAAUAAGAUAGGACCUUGGUACUAUUUUGUUGGUUUGCGCACCGAGGUAAUGAUUAACAGGGACAGUUGGGGGUAUUCGUAUUCCAUUGUCAGAGGUGAAAUUCUUGGAUUUCUGGAAGACGAACUACUGCGAAAGCAUUUACCAAGGAUGUUUNCAUUA